rnacentral:rRNA from 1 species
GAUCAUGGCUCAGGAUGAACGCUGGCGGCGUGCCUAACACAUGCAAGUCGAACGAAGCUUGACGGAUGAUUUCUUCGGAAUGAAACCUGAUAUGACUUAGUGGCGGACGGGUGAGUAACACGUGAGCAACCUGCCUUUCAGAGGGGGAUAACGGCUGGAAACGGUCGCUAAUACCGCAUGAUGUGUUCGGAUGGCAUCAUCUAGAACAUACAAAGUAUUUAUCGCUAGAAAG